UCUUCACUCCAGUCACUAGCCCUGCCUUCGGCAUCCCCCUCAUUGCGGUUAAGGUAAUGACUUUGGGCAUGACCAGCUCCCAUAGUGUGACGGGCAUGUGUAUAAGGCCCGGGAAUGAAUCACUCUACCGCUGAGUUAUAUCCCUUCCCUGCCCCCAUCAAGAAAUAGAACUGACUGAUCCUUUGACUUAGGAUUAGUCAGUUCUAUUUCUUGAUGGGGGCAGGGAAGGGAUAUAACUCAGCGGUAGAGUGAUUCAUUCCCGGGCCUUAUACACAUGCCCGUCACACUAUGGGAGCUGGUCAUGCCCAAAGUCAUUACCUUAACCGCAAUGAGGGGGAUGCCGAAGGCAGGGCUAGUGACUGGAGUGAAGACCUUAUGAAAAUUGAACACUUUCGCA
rnacentral:ncRNA from 1 species